CGUAGGGGCGAAGCGUUAUCCGGAUUUACUGGGUGUAAAGGGAGCGUAGGUGGUAUGGUAAGUCAGGUGUGAAAGCCCGGGGCUCAACUCCGGGAUUGCAUUUGAAACUGCCAAACUAGAGUGCAGGAGAGGUAAGUGGAAUUCCUAGUGUAGCGGUGAAAUGCGUAGAUAUUAGGAGGAACACCAGUGGCGAAGGCGGCUUACUGGACUGUAACUGACACUGAGGCUCGAAAGCGUGGGGAGCAAACAGGAUU
rnacentral:rRNA from 1 species